rnacentral:lncRNA from 1 species
UUUCAAGUACUGAAUUUCACAAUAACUGUAGGUAGGUGAAGUCAUCUCAUGUACUUAAAUUCAUCUUGAAGUUAAAAAUAAUAUACAAGAUUAUGUUUUUCAUAAUUUGCAAUAAUUAGAUCUCUUCAUAUUAAUAUUAUCAUCUGACACAAUUCCCAUCUAUUCAAAGGAGAAAAGGUUGAAGCCAGUGACUUUAAAAAUGUGCUGGGGAAAAUGGGAAUCAAUCUCACUGAAAAGGAACACUUGAUGCUGUCAAAAACUCUGCCAAUCUCUAGAGAUGGAAAGGUGUAUAAGAAGAGAUUACUAGAUAGUGUGAAGUCUCUCAAAGGGAAAAAAAUCAGUGUCAAUAACCUGGACACCCUUAUGGAAGAAAUGGAAAUCCAGCUUGAGAAAGAAGACCGUGUGGACUUACUGACCCAUCUGCCAAUUGAUGGUAAGUAUGUCAGGUACCACUAUGUGUAGGGGGAAUCUUGGGGUUUCUAUAUAUAAGGGUU